rnacentral:rRNA from 1 species
CAGCAGUCGCCGCGGUAAUACGGAGGGAGCUAGCGUUGUUCGGAAUUACUGGGCGUAAAGCGCGCGUAGGCGGUUACUCAAGUCAGAGGUGAAAGCCCGGGGCUCAACCCCGGAACUGCCUUUGAAACUAGGUGACUAGAAUCUUGGAGAGGUUAGUGGAAUUCCGAGUGUAGAGGUGAAAUUCGUAGAUAUUCGGAAGAACACCAGUGGCGAAGGCGACUGACUGGACAAGUAUUGACGCUGAGGUGCGAAAGCGUGGGGAGCAAACAGGAUUAGAUACCCCCGUAGUCCCUGUCUCUUAUAC